rnacentral:rRNA from 1 species
UACGUAGGGGGCUAGCGUUGUCCGGAUUUACUGGGCGUAAAGAGCGUGUAGGCGGCCACGCAGGUCCGUUGUGAAAACUGGAGGCUCAACCUUCAGACGUCGACGGAAACCGUGUGGCUAGAGUCCGGAAGAGGAGAGUGGAAUUCCUGGUGUAGCGGUGAAAUGCGUAGAUAUCAGGAGGAACACCGGUGGUGUAGACGGCUUUCUGGACCGUAACUGACGCUGAGACACGAAAGCGUGGGUAGCAAACAGG